AGCAAACCGGACUCACUGCGCCUGCGCCGGAGCGAGGCCGCGGCGGGGAUGGCGCAGGUGCGCGGCGUCCUAGCUCCAGGUUGUGGACGAAAACCUUUGGAGGAUUUCUGGUACUAGACAAGAUGGCGUAUGCCCACUGCAGUCUCUCUCUUCCACUUAUGAUGACUAAAAAUGCUGGACAAAAUAGAACUACCUGAGAACUCUGAAAAGUAAACAAGCAGGCAAAUUAGGGAGGGAGUCAAAGCUUGAAGACGCUAUCCGUAGGGGGAUCCAUCACACAGUAGGGGCUCCAUCCUCUGAGACUGCCUGCUGAUUUUCUGUUGAUGCCCCGCUUGCCCUACAGAAGAUGUGUCCCCUAUACUUACUAACACCAGCAAGAAAAAGCCGAGAAAGAGGGAUGCGUUAGCACUGGAGGAGGAAAUACACUAUUUAUUUACAACUCUUUCACUUUAUCCACAAUUUCCAUACAAACAUAAAAACUAAAAAAAUAAAACCACCA